UUAAGGAAUUAGUUGGCAUACCUAAUAGAUCUCUAGAGAAAAUUUGACUCUUGAUGUAAGUAUAUCUUGAGGAUAGGACUGAUGUAUGGUUAGAAAUCUUCAUAAAAUUAUUUUAAAUCUUUCACUAGUUCCUUACUAAACCUCUACUUAUUUGCUUAUUGUAUCUUUUUCAAGGCAAAGGAAUUGGUUCUUGUUUUUCUUCCCCUGCCUGGAGCCUGAGGCAGCUCGUUUCAAUUUAUGCUCUGGCUCCCCAGGAUAGCUGAGAAACUUCACUGUCCAAUCCUACAGGGAGAAAAAGUGACACUGAGCAUAAUCAACACUGUCUCUAACCAGGAUGCUUAUGAUAUGGUAGUCUUUACGUUAGCUUUGCUUUGUUCCCACUCUUCUCUCCUUUCUUCCAUACAUCUCCUCAUAACUCUAUUUAUAAAUGGCCUUCGCAAAACCAAAUUAACACAGUAAAAAGCUUAACCAUGUGGUGCCCAGCACAAUAAGAUCUGGAAGGUCUGUCGUUAUUGGAUGCCGAGGAUGUAUUUCCAUGUCCUGUGCCUCAUCAGCAGCUUCAACUCUGGAGAGAUAACAGUGGGGUUGAUGUAGAAAUCUUGCCUAAAUGCUCCCUACCAUGAAUGACCACAUGUUCCAGCAUGGUAUGCCAAGGAUCCCUUUGCAAUGUAACUCUACUCCUCCCUCCAUCAAGAAGUAGGGUCUAUUUCUCCACCCCUUGAAUCAGUCUGGUCUUGUGACUUGCUUUCAUCAAUAAAAUGUUGCAGAAGUGAAGUCUGAAAGCCCUGCUUGGAGAAAACAUGUAGCUUCUACUUUCAAUCUUGGAAUCCAGUCUCCACAAAAAGAAGUCCAGGCUAGCCUGCGGAGACAGAGAACAUGUGGAGAGAAAGAUCAUAGUGAAUGAACUACCAUAUGGAGAGUGAAGCCACAUGGAAGAGAACCACAUUGCCCCAGUUUGACAGUAACAGCAAAGCUCCAUUUAUUGAGAAUGAAGCAAUCUUUGAUCUCUUAGCCCUAAUCAAGUCACCCCAGCUGACAUCACAUGGAGUAGAGACAAGCCAUCCCCACUGAGCCCCAAAUAUCCAACCAACAAAACUCACUGAAUGGAUCCCCAGUGUCUAACUGUGUAAAACAGCUGAGACGUCACUGCUUUCCAAUCUCUUGAAGGACAAGUGCUCAUCUUGGCUCACCUUGGAACCCACUUCAGAACCCAGGGGAAGUGGUAAGUGUUCUAGUGUACGCAUUGGAAAGGGAAAUAUACAAACAGGGCUGAGGAUAUCUCGGGACACAAGCAGCCAUCAAUAUUUUAAGAUGACCAACAAGCAAUAGUCAAGGAGCUCCCAUUGGGCAACUCUUCUCAGCUCUGAAGAGAAGAGCCAGUGCAAAUCCCCAGCAGGGCUGUGGUGCUCACCUGGUGGCCAGUAGGUGGUCUUAGGCAUUGGUUCCAUUCCCUCAUUGUUUUUGCUUCUAGCAAUAAUAGCUGCUCCACAGCCUGUCAAUUAAGACAUUGCUCCCCUACACCUCCAAUUAUUAUUUCUUUUUUUUUUUCCUUUGUUUUUUUCUUUUUUCCUUUUUUUUGAGACAAAAUCUGGCUCUGUCACCCAGGCUGGAGUGCAGUGGUGGGACCUCAGCUUACUGCAACCUCUGCCUCCCGGGUUCAAGUGAUUCUCCUGCCUCAGCCUCCUUGUAGAUGGGACUACACGAGCUCACUACUACGCCAGCUAAUUUUUGUAUUUUUAGUGGAAACGGGGUUUUGCCUUGUUGGCCAGGCUGGUCUUGAACUCCUGGCCUCAAGUGAUCCACCCACCUCAGCCUCCCACAGUGCUGGGAUUACAGGCGUGAGCCACCACGCCCGGCCACCUCCAAUUAUUUCUGAUGAAUGCUUCAAGAUCCUCUUUGGAAGUUUGAAAACAAAAGAAAAGAAAACCAGCCACCAGCCAACCAAUGACCAAAACUUGCUCUCUGUUUUCUUCCUAAUUUCUAAUUCUCCUGGAGCCAAUGUGAAAAGAGAAAAGUUGUGCAUAAAAGUAAGCACAAAUAAUAAUAUAUCAACAAAUACUCAUAUGUACCCCACAAAUAUAUAAAAUAUUAGGUAUCAAUAAAAUAAAAUAAUCAGUAUUCAAAGCUAUUUCAAACUCAGAAAUGCAUCUCACCAAUUAUAUGUAUAUCUAUAAACAUCACAAAUAAUAGGAUAAUUGGGCAUGUCCAGGAUUAUAUUGGAGAAGCAAUGUGCUCACAGCAUUGAAAGAGCAAAUUUCUUCACCCACUUGCAGAUGAUAUAAUUUUAACCUCCAAUUCCCCUGUCUCCAUUGUUCAUCUCCUCCAGGACUGUGAACAGAUUUCAUCAGUUUUUGGUUUCAUUAUUCCUCCACUGGGAUAUCGGUCUCAGUUUAUAAACAUAUUCAGAUCUCUUCAAUAAUUUAAAAAAGAAUCCUUCCCUGAAUCCCUGUUCAAUAUUAACUAACUGAAACCUACAGGGUAACGAAUCUGUUUUUAAAAAAGAAAGAUAAAGAAAAUAUCUGCGUUUUCUAUAAUAUUAUACGAACUUGAAAGGCAAAGAGUUAGAUGACAUUUUCACAUAAUGUGCAUAUUGUUAGAUUAAGUAUGAUUUAUAUGUUUAAAAUUAAACCUUUUUUAAGUUUUAUAUGCAAUAAUAGAAGUAUUUCCUAUUUUAUGGCGUAAAUCUGGUUGUCCAUAUGCAAGUUAACAGCAUUUGAGGCUUCUUUUUAUAAUAACUGGUAAGAUCUUGCCCAUCGGAACUUGGUUGUUGGUCAUUUCUUUGAAGCAUUUCCCUAUUGACUGAAAGCAACUAAAAAGGUAGGUUUGUUUAGGAUAUGAAAACUAAGUUACCCUAUGGCCCCAAAACCACAUUAGAUACUGAUUAAUUACUUAUAUUCAAGUAAAACAUUGACUUACAUUAAAAAACCUUAGGUUCUAAAUGUCCUAUGCCUAACCUAUUCAGUACAAUGUGACACAAAUUCAACUUGAUUUCCUAUACUGGUUAUGCCAAAAUAAAGCUAUUUCUUUAUUAAAAAUAAAAAUAAUGAAUGCUAUUAAGGUGGCAGCUUCAUAUUCUCAUAAGAUUUUGCUGUUCAAGCUAAUCUUUAAAGGUUUUACCAGUGAUACCAUGCAAGUGGGUUUGCAUCCACAUGUGUAAUGCCUUUAUUUCUACCAAAUCACUUACAAUGUCCAGAUAGACAUAUUUGUCUAAGUUAGCCAAACUGUGGCAAUGCCUUUUAAAUGCCAGAUAAAAUCUAUUAAAAUUUGUAUCUUUUCAUAUGGGCUUGGGCUUUUAA
rnacentral:lncRNA from 1 species